UACAGAGGUGGCAAGCGUUGUUCGGAAUUACUGGGCGUAAAGGGCGCGUAGGCGGCCUGUUAAGUCCCGUGUGAAAUCCCUCGGCUCAACCGAGGAACUGCACGGGAAACUGGCGGGCUUGAGUUCGGGAGAGGGAAGCGGAAUUCCGGGUGUAGCGGUGAAAUGCGUAGAUAUCCGGAGGAACCCCGGUGGCGAAGGCGGCUUCCUGGACCGACACUGACGCUGAGGCGCGAAAGCUAGGGGAGCAGACAGG
rnacentral:rRNA from 1 species